rnacentral:ncRNA from 1 species
CCGCACGCGCUCCAAACGACUGAGCUCUCUCGAGAGGAAUGCAGAGUGCUGUAUCGAAGCCUCCAGGUCGCGUUAUGGCGGGAAACAGUUCAAUCGCAGUGGCUUGGAAUGGGUGAAAGUCGUAACAAGGUAUCUGUAGGUGAACUUGUAGAUG